AGUAAAAGUCGUAACAAGGUCUCCGUUGGUGAACCAGCGGAGGGAUCAUUACCGGAUUUUACCAUCCCCAACCCUUUGUGAACCUACCGAUCGUUGCUUCGGCGCGCCGUCCUAGCGUCCGGGCGUCUGCUCCCCGCGAGCGUCGCCCGCGGCCUGGGCCCCAGGCGGCCGCCGAGGGCCUUCAAACCAUGACUUGCUUUGAUUGUAUUCCUUCUGAAUCCGCCGCGAGGCGAAAACAAAUAAAUCAAAACUUUCAACAACGGAUCUCUUGGCUCUGGCAUCGAUGAAGAACGCAGCGAAAUGCGAUACGUAAUGUGAAUUGCAGAAUUCAGUGAAUCAUCGAAUCUUUGAACGCACAUUGCGCCCGGCAGCAUUCUGCCGGGCAUGCCUGUUCGAGCGUCACCACAACCCUCGCGCCCCCUCUGGGGGGCCCGGCGUUGGGGACCGGCAGCCACGCCGGCCCCGAAAUCGAGUGGCGGCCCCGUCCGCGGCGGACCCUGCGCAGUAACUCACCUCGCAGCGGGCGCCGGGCGCGGCCACGCCGUUAAACCCCCAACUCUCUUAUGUUGACCUCGGAUCAGGUAGGACUACCCGCUGAACCUAAGCAUAUCAAUAAAGCGGAGGA
rnacentral:misc_RNA from 1 species